UUUUUUCCUACAGAUUUGAUUUUAAUCUGAUUCCUAAUGACUCCACCCUAUGGUAUCUUAAAUUCCUCCCUUUCUUUCAUAGCAUUUACCAGACUCUAUCAUAUUUGUUUGUGAAGCAUUCCUAUCACUCACAGCCACCUGUUUGUAGGAAACGUUUUCUCUCAGUCUUUUCAUUCUCAAGCUGGAGCUCUGAAAGUUGCUUUUCUUAAGAUUUCCAUUAUAGAAGUUUUGCCAGUUCUUCUGCUCUAGACAGAUCUCUCACUUUUAUAAAUGUUUUUCUCUCUAGCCACACUUAAUACAAAUUUUACAGAUAUUGGAGGGAAUCCUGGUUAAUAUGAGCAUGUGUUUAUCUUUAAAAAUGAAUGCUUACCUCUGGAAAAAGAGGUGAGUUUAAAAGAGGAUCAGAAAACUACAGGCUGCUGCCCUUUUUUUAAAGAAAAAAUAAUGUAUAUUUUUAAUGGCUGCACCUGCACCUUAUGGAAGUUCCUAGGCCAAGGACUGAACCCAAGCCACAGCUGUGACCUUGUACUGCAGCCAUGGCAAGACUAGAUCAUUUAACCCAACUGUGCUGGGCCAGGAAUCGAACCUGCACCUCUACAGUGAAUGAGCUGCUGCAGUUGGGACUCUUAUGCCACUGCACCACAGAGGGAACUCCUGCCCAUUUUUUUUAUAAAUAAAGUUUUAUUGGAGCUCGGUCAUACUCUUUCAUUCAGGUAUUAUCUAUGUCUCCUUUGUUGUCAUAACAGAGUUGAGUGGUUUGACCCACUAUCUGGCCCUCAAGUCUGCAAUAUUUACUGACUGGCAUUUUACUGGAAUCAUUUGCUGAUUCUGGGUUUGGAGACCAUAAAAGGCUCUCCUUUUUAUAGCAGAUGCUGUUGUUUUUCUAGUAAAUGUCUUUUGCCAUGUUUUCUCUGGAGAGGAGAUGAAAACGAGAUCUUCCCUUUUUUCUUCCAAGGUUUAUUAAGAUAUAAUUGACAAAUAAAUAUAUAUAUUUAAGGUAUAUAAUGUGGUCAAGUUAAUAUGCAUAUAUAUUAGGAGCACCACAGUCAAGUUAUGGAACAUCUCCAUCACCUCGUGUGGUGCCAUUUUUAUGUGUGUAUGUGGUGAGAACACCUAAGAUCUACUCUCUUAGGAAAUUUCAAGUAUACGUGGUAUUUAUACAAAUAAAGAGAUGAGCGUUAGCAAGGCUACAGAGAAUAGGGAACUCUUAUACAUUGUUGGUGAUAUAGUUAUUAUGGAAAUUGGUAUAGUUACUAUUGGAAAACAGCGUGGAGGUUCCUUAAACUAAAAACAGAACUAAAUCAGCUAUCCCAUUUCUGGGUGAAUAUUCAGAGGAAUUGAAAUCAGUAUCUCCAAGAGAUAUCUGCAUCCUUUGUUCACUAUAGCAUUAUUCACUGGAGCCAAGAUGUGAAGAAAACCUAAAUGUCCAUUGAGAGAUGAAAGGACGAAAAUGUGGUAUCAUAUAUAUACAAUGGAAUACUAUUUAGCCAUCAAAAGAAGGGAAUACUGCCAUUUUCAGCAACAGGGAUGAACCUGGAGAACAUUAUGCUGAGUGAAAUAAGCCAGACACAGAAAGCAGUCUUUCUUAUGAAGCAUUUUUGUGUGUGAAGAUUCAUAGUUUCAUUCAUUGCUUUAACUUUUCUGUGACUACUCUGGUUAAAAAAAAAAAUCUGAAAAAUUCAGUUUCUUAAAAAUGCUUUUGCUGGAGUUCCCAUCAUGGCUCAGCAGUAACGAACCUGACUAGUAUCUAGGAGGAGUGUACGUUGCAGACGCAGCUUGGAUCCCAAAUUGCUGUGUGUGGAAUAGACAAGCAGCUGCAGCUCUGAUUUUCCCUCUAGUCUGGGAACUUCCAUAUGCCACAAAUGUGGCCCUAAAAAGCAAAAGAAAAAAAAAAAA
ensembl:lncRNA